UACGUAGGUGGCAAGCGUUGUCCGGAUUUACUGGGCGUAAAGGGCGUGCAGGCGGUUUGUUAAGUGCAGGGUGAAAGCUCCCGGCUCAACUGGGAGAGGUCCUUGCAUACUGGCAAACUCGAGGGAGGCAGAGGAAAGUGGAAUUCCCGGUGUAGUGGUGAUAUGCGUAGAUAUCGGGAGGAACACCUGUGGCGAAGGCGGCUUUCUGGGCCUUACCUGACGCUGAGACGCGAAAGCGUGGGGAGCGAACCGGAUUAGAUACCCGGGUAGUCCACGCCGUAAACUAUGGACACUAGGUGUGGGGGGUAUCGACCCCCUCCGUGCCGAAGCUAACGCAAUAAGUGUCCCGCCUGGGGAGUACGGCCGCAAGGCUAAA
rnacentral:rRNA from 1 species